GGGAAUUGAGGCCCAUACAAAUUCACAACCUGCCCAAGGUAUGGAUCCCAAAUACGAACAACAGCAUUCUGACUCUUGAGUCCACAGCACUAUUCUGCCCCUUGUCAAUUUCUAAAAGAGAGCCAUUCAAAGGAAGACAGAGAAUCAACCCAGGGGAAUGAUCUUGCCAGUCUUUGGAAAAAAAGCACACCCCUGUUUUCCAAAAGCAUCAAAUCUUUGGAAAGAGAAGGAGAUAUUACUGGGGUAUUCAGGUUUCUCAAUGAGGAUAGGAUGCUGAGGCCUGACUUUUGAUGAGAAUACAUGCAUGGUUAUUGGAAGAGAUAUUUUCAGAGUAACAACUGGAGAAGUAUAUAUCAAGUGGGUCUGCAUGAGUGACAGCUAAAAACAGACAAACAAAAGCCAAACCAGAGCCAGAGGAAUAAACACAAGGACUGGGGGAGAAGGUACCAGCACAGGUGGCGCAGAAGCGGUGACAGGGCUGACAGUCCUGGCCGUUGAAGUACUGUCCGUCCUCACAGGCGAUGGAACACCGGGAUCCCUGCAGGCUGAGGACAUAGAGUGCUGUGAUCAAGGCAAUGAGGGUUUCCUAACUUCCAACAAUGAAAAACAUCCCACUAAUGAAGCUGGGCAACACCACCAUGUCAAGGUUGAAAAGCAAUGCCUCCGGCCGGGGAAAGGAAUGGCAGACUCCCAUCUUUUAGGACUACUCUGAUGAACUCUACUACACCACGGGGUGAUACCCUUGUUAAGACAAAUUAUGGAGAACUCAGAAAUAAGGCAAAAAAUACCUGCAGUCCUUUUCAGGGCCACGACAGAGCACUAACAGGUAGGUAUGCCCAAGGAUCAUUUAAUUCUCUAGAGAAUGUAGUUUUGUCUGUUUACGAAUGAUGGUUAA